AUACUUACUCGCAGGGGAGAUACCAUGAUCAUGAAGGUGGUUUUCCCAGCAUGAGGCGCAUCCAUUGCACUCCAGAUAUGCUGACCCCUGCAAUUUCCCCAAAUGUGGGAAAUUCAACUGCAUAAUUUGUGGUAGUGGGGGACUGUGUUUGCGCUUUCCCCUG
ensembl:snRNA U1 U1 spliceosomal RNA